rnacentral:rRNA from 1 species
UACAGAGGGGGCAAGCGUUGUUCGGAAUUACUGGGCGUAAAGGGCGCGUAGGCGGUACUUCAAGUCAGGCGUGAAAGCCCCGGGCUCAACCUGGGAACCGCGCUUGAGACUGGAGAACUAGAGUUCGGGAGAGGAUGGUGGAAUUCCCAGUGUAGAGGUGAAAUUCGUAGAUAUUGGGAAGAACACCGAUGGCGAAGGCAGCCAUCUGGACCGACACUGACGCUGAGGCGCGAAAGCGUGGGGGAGCAAACAGG